rnacentral:rRNA from 1 species
GGGUUGUGAGGUUAAGCGACUAAGCGUACACGGUGGAUGCCCUGGCAGUCAGAGGCGAUGAAGGACGUGCUAAUCUGCGAUAAGCGUCGGUAAGGUGAUAUGAACCGUUAUAACCGGCGAUUUCCGAAUGGGGAAACCCAGUGUGAUUCGUCACACUAUCAUUAACUGAAUCCAUAGGUUAAUGAGGCGAACCGGGGGAACUGAAACAUCUAAGUACCCCGAGGAAAAGAAAUCAACCGAGAUUCCCCCAGUAGCGGCGAGCGAACGGGGAGGAGCCCAGAGCCUGAAUCAGUGUGUGUGUUAGUGGAAGCGUCUGGAAAGGCGCGCGAUACAGGGUGACAGCCCCGUACACAAAAAUGCACAUGCUGUGAGCUCGAUGAGUAGGGCGGGACACGUGGUAUCCUGUCUGAAUAUGGGGGGACCAUCCUCCAAGGCUAAAUACUCCUGACUGACCGAUAGUGAACCAGUACCGUGAGGGAAAGGCGAAAAGAACCCCGGCGAGGGGAGUGAAAAAGAACCUGAAACCGUGUACGUACAAGCAGUGGGAGCACAGAGCAAUCUGUGUGACUGCGUACCUUUUGUAUAAUGGGUCAGCGACUUAUAUUCUGUAGCAAGGUUAACCGAAUAGGGGAGCCGAAGGGAAACCGAGUCUUAACUGGGCGUUAAGUUGCAGGGUAUAGACCCGAAACCCGGUGAUCUAGCCAUGGGCAGGUUGAAGGUUGGGUAACACUAACUGGAGGACCGAACCGACUAAUGUUGAAAAAUUAGCGGAUGACUUGUGGCUGGGGGUGAAAGGCCAAUCAAACCGGGAGAUAGCUGGUUCUCCCCGAAAGCUAUUUAGGUAGCGCCUCGUGAAUUCAUCUCCGGGGGUAGAGCACUGUUUCGGCAAGGGGGUCAUCCCGACUUACCAACCCGAUGCAAACUGCGAAUACCGGAGAAUGUUAUCACGGGAGACACACGGCGGGUGCUAACGUCCGUCGUGAAGAGGGAAACAACCCAGACCGCCAGCUAAGGUCCCAAAGUCAUGGUUAAGUGGGAAACGAUGUGGGAAGGCCCAGACAGCCAGGAUGUUGGCUUAGAAGCAGCCAUCAUUUAAAGAAAGCGUAAUAGCUCACUGGUCGAGUCGGCCUGCGCGGAAGAUGUAACGGGGCUAAACCAUGCACCGAAGCUGCGGCAGCGACACUAUGUGUUGUUGGGUAGGGGAGCGUUCUGUAAGCCUGUGAAGGUGUACUGUGAGGUAUGCUGGAGGUAUCAGAAGUGCGAAUGCUGACAUAAGUAACGAUAAAGCGGGUGAAAAGCCCGCUCGCCGGAAGACCAAGGGUUCCUGUCCAACGUUAAUCGGGGCAGGGUGAGUCGACCCCUAAGGCGAGGCCGAAAGGCGUAGUCGAUGGGAAACAGGUUAAUAUUCCUGUACUUGGUGUUACUGCGAAGGGGGGACGGAGAAGGCUAUGUUGGCCGGGCGACGGUUGUCCCGGUUUAAGCGUGUAGGCUGGUUUUCCAGGCAAAUCCGGAAAAUCAAGGCUGAGGCGUGAUGACGAGGCACUACGGUGCUGAAGCAACAAAUGCCCUGCUUCCAGGAAAAGCCUCUAAGCAUCAGGUAACAUCAAAUCGUACCCCAAACCGACACAGGUGGUCAGGUAGAGAAUACCAAGGCGCUUGAGAGAACUCGGGUGAAGGAACUAGGCAAAAUGGUGCCGUAACUUCGGGAGAAGGCACGCUGAUAUGUAGGUGAAGUCCCUCGCGGAUGGAGCUGAAAUCAGUCGAAGAUACCAGCUGGCUGCAACUGUUUAUUAAAAACACAGCACUGUGCAAACACGAAAGUGGACGUAUACGGUGUGACGCCUGCCCGGUGCCGGAAGGUUAAUUGAUGGGGUCAGCGCAAGCGAAGCUCUUGAUCGAAGCCCCGGUAAACGGCGGCCGUAACUAUAACGGUCCUAAGGUAGCGAAAUUCCUUGUCGGGUAAGUUCCGACCUGCACGAAUGGCGUAAUGAUGGCCAGGCUGUCUCCACCCGAGACUCAGUGAAAUUGAACUCGCUGUGAAGAUGCAGUGUACCCGCGGCAAGACGGAAAGACCCCGUGAACCUUUACUAUAGCUUGACACUGAACAUUGAGCCUUGAUGUGUAGGAUAGGUGGGAGGCUUUGAAGUGUGGACGCCAGUCUGCAUGGAGCCGGCCUUGAAAUACCACCCUUUAAUGUUUGAUGUUCUAACGUUGACCCGUGAUCCGGGUUGCGGACAGUGUCUGGUGGGUAGUUUGACUGGGGCGGUCUCCUCCUAAAGAGUAACGGAGGAGCACGAAGGUUGGCUAAUCCUGGUCGGACAUCAGGAGGUUAGUGCAAUGGCAUAAGCCAGCUUGACUGCGAGCGUGACGGCGCGAGCAGGUGCGAAAGCAGGUCAUAGUGAUCCGGUGGUUCUGAAUGGAAGGGCCAUCGCUCAACGGAUAAAAGGUACUCCGGGGAUAACAGGCUGAUACCGCCCAAGAGUUCAUAUCGACGGCGGUGUUUGGCACCUCGAUGUCGGCUCAUCACAUCCUGGGGCUGAAGUAGGUCCCAAGGGUAUGGCUGUUCGCCAUUUAAAGUGGUACGCGAGCUGGGUUUAGAACGUCGUGAGACAGUUCGGUCCCUAUCUGCCGUGGGCGCUGGAGAACUGAGGGGGGCUGCUCCUAGUACGAGAGGACCGGAGUGGACGCAUCACUGGUGUUCGGGUUGUCAUGCCAAUGGCACUGCCCGGUAGCUAAAUGCGGAAGAGAUAAGUGCUGAAAGCAUCUAAGCACGAAACUUGCCCCGAGAUGAGUUCUCCCUGACUCCUUGAGAGUCCUGAAGGAACGUUGAAGACGACGACGUUGAUAGGCCGGGUGUGUAAGCGCAGCGAUGCGUUGAGCUAACCGGUACUAAUGAACCGUGAGGCUUAACCUUACAACGCCGAAGCUGUU